GGCUCAGGAUUAACGCUAGCGGCAGGCCUAAUACAUGCAAGUCGAACGGCAGCGGGUCCAGCAAUGGAUGCCGGCGAGUGGCGCACGGGUGCGUAACGCGUAUGCAAUCUACCUUUAACUGGAGGAUAGCCCCGAGAAAUCGGGAUUAAUACUCCAUACGAUUGAGAAGGGGCAUCUCUUUUCAAUGAAAGCUCCGGCGGUUUUAGAUGAGCAUGCGUGACAUUAGCUUGUUGGUGAGGUAACGGCUCACCAAGGCGACGAUGUCUAGGGGUUCUGAGAGGAUUCUCCCCCACACUGGUACUGAGACACGGACCAGACUCCUACGGGAGGCAGCAGUAAGGAAUAUUGGGCAAUGGGCGCAAGCCUGACCCAGCCAUGCCGCGUGAAGGAUGACGGCCCUACGGGUUGUAAACUUCUUUUGUACGGGAAAAAACCCCCGGUCGUGUACCGGGGUUGAUGGUACUGUAAGAAUAAGCAUCGGCUAACUCCGUGCCAGCAGCCGCGGUAAUACGGAGGAUGCAAGCGUUAUCCGGAUUCAUUGGGUUUAAAGGGUGCGCAGGCGGAUUGGUAAGUCAGUGGUGAAAUCCUACGGCUCAACUGUAGAACUGCCAUUGAUACUACCAAUCUUGAGUACACUUGAAGUGGGCGGAAUGUGUCAUGUAGCGGUGAAAUGCUUAGAUAUGACACAGAACACCGAUCGCGAAGGCAGCUCACUAAAUUGUAACUGACGCUCAUGCACGAAAGCGUGGGGAUCAAACAGGAUUAGAUACCCUGGUAGUCCACGCUGUAAACGAUGAUCACUCGAUGUUGGCGAUACACUGUCAGCGUCUAAGCGAAAGCAUUAAGUGAUCCACCUGGGGAGUACGGCCGCAAGGUUGAAAC
rnacentral:rRNA from 1 species